rnacentral:misc_RNA from 1 species
GAUGAAGAACGUAGUGAAAUGCGAUAAGUAGUGUGAAUUGCAGAAUUCAGUGAAUCAUCGAAUCUUUGAACGCACAUUGCGCCCCUUGGGAUUCCAUGGGGCAUGCCUGUUCGAGCGUCAUUACAACCCUCAAGCUCAGCUUGGUGUUGGGCCCCGCCGCCCCGGCGGGCCCUAAAGUCAGUGGCGGUGCCGUCCGGCUCCGAGCGUAGUAAUUCUUCUCGCUCUGGAGGUCCGGUCGUGUGCUCGCCAGCAACCCCCAAUUUUUUUCAGGUUGACCUCGGAUCAGGUAGGGAUACCCGCUGAACUUAAGCAUAUCAAUAAGCGGAGGA